rnacentral:rRNA from 1 species
GACGAACGCUGGCGGCGUGCUUAACACAUGCAAGUCGAACGGUGAAGCUCCAGCUUGCUGGAGUGGAUCAGUGGCGAACGGGUGAGUAACACGUGAGCAACCUGCCCCUGACUCUGGAAUAAGCGCUGGAAACGGCGUCUAAUACUGGAUACGAGAAGGGUCCGCAUGGGCACUUUCUGGAAAGUUUUUCGGUUGGGGAUGGGUUCGCGGCCUAUCAGCUUGUUGGUGAGGUAAUGGCUCACCAAGGCGACGACGGGUAGCCGGCCUGAGAGGGCGACCGGCCACACUGGGACUGAGACACGGCCCAGACUCCUACGGGAGGCAGCAGUGGGGAAUAUUGCACAAUGGGCGAAAGCCUGAUGCAGCGACGCCGCGUGAGGGAUGACGGCCUUCGGGUUGUAAACCUCUUUCAGCAGGGAAGAAGCGAAAGUGACGGUACCUGCAGAAGAAGCACCGGCUAACUACGUG